UGGGGUAUAGCCAAGCGGUAAGGCAACCGGUUUUGAUCCGGUCAUCCCAGGUUCGAUCCCUGGUACCCCAACCA
rnacentral:tRNA from 1 species